UUUGGUAGAAUUUAAAAUGCCCAAGUAGUGCUGGGCGAUAAAUCGGUUUUAUCGAUUAACUCGAAUGUGUAUUUAACGUUGACUUGUUUUAAAUGAAAAUCGGUUUUCUCCCUCUGGGUUCCCGUAGUUCCGAAUGGGCAGCCCUCCGCCGUUUGGCGGUUGCCAUAGAGAUACACAAACAACAUGGCAGCGACAGGG